rnacentral:lncRNA from 1 species
AUUAUGUUAAAUGUUAAUGUAUAUUGUGUAUAAUGAAUAAUUAAAUAAAGUAAAUGAAUAUUAAAUAAAUAAUAUAUGUAACCAAUUAAAAUUGUUAAUAAAAUAUUUACAUAAAAAACUAAAUAAAAUAGUAAAUAAACACAUGGAGAACACAGUAUGUUUUUAAAAAAAAUCUUCAAAUAUUACGGUUUCAAAUACUGAUAGAAUGUGAAAACAUUACAUAAAGUUUAAAUUUCAAUACACAUCUGUUGCAUUGUUAUUUAGAUGAAUCUAACUUGUAUAAUAUCUUCUAGUAUGUCCUGUUGCGCUGCACCUAUCGCACUUACGAGAUUGAAAUUUUUUUUCGGUUGAUGGUGUUCUAGACGUACGUCUACGUCCAGGAGUACGUGGUCCGACUUCGGGCGGCAACAAAUUAUUUAGUGGAAGAAUGUGGUCGGGAACUUCCCACUCAA